GAUGAACGCUGGCGGCGUGCCUAAUACAUGCAAGUCGAGCGAACGGACGAGAAGCUUGCUUCUCUGAUGUUAGCGGCGGACGGGUGAGUAACACGUGGAUAACCUACCUAUAUGACUGGGAUAACUACGAGAAACCGGAGCUAAUACCGGAUAAUAUAUUGAACCGCAUGGUUCAAAAGUGAAAGACGGUCUUGCUGUCACUGAUAGAUGUAUCCGCGCUGCAUUAGCUAGUUGGUAAGGUAACGGCUUACCAAGGCAACGAUGCAUAGCCGACCUGAGAGGGUGAUCGGCGACACUGGAACUGGAAGACGGUCCAGACUCCUACGGGAGGCAGCAGUAGGGAAUCUUCCGCAAUGGGCGAAAGCAUGACGGAGCAACGCCGGGUGGGUGGUGAAGGUCUUGGGAUCGGAAAACUCUGUUAUUAGGGAAGAACAUAUGUGUAAGUAACUGUGCACAUAUUGACGGUACCUAAUCAGAAAGCCACGGCUAACUACGUG
rnacentral:rRNA from 1 species